UGUCGGGCCGCGGCAAGCAGGGAGGUAAAGUACGGGCUCUUGGGCUGCAGUUUCCAGUGGGCCGUGUAUACCGUCUGCUUCAGAAAGGUCGCUAUGCGGAGCGGAUAUUCCGACUGAAGAUAAGCACGCUAGCCUAUUUUACAGUUUCAAAAAUAACAGUUCUCACUUCUUGUGAUGAUCUUGGGUUUAAGCUGGUGAAAACUAGCCCACAAAUCAUCUCCUAAAAAAGCAGAAAGAAGCUGAUUCUGUGACAGAAGAUAAUAUAAUGUGAAAGAUAAAAUUAAGGCAUCAUAUACUAUUUGAUUAGCCUGUAACAGCUAAUAAGCAAGUGUCUACUUAAAUAUCCAGGGAAGAUUCUGGUAAUAAUGUCAGAGGGUUUUUUUGUCUCUUUUUGUUUUGUUUUCCACCCUACACACAUUGUGAUGUGAGCAAGGCUCAAAAAAUAUUUGUUAGAAAUAACAAUAGCUAUAUCCUAAUGAAUCCCCAAGUUUAUUUUACUAUGUCCCUUAAAAUGACUCUCUUUCUCAAAUACUGUAUAUGAUGCAGUAUAUGACACAUACACCCAGGCACUGGGACAGGGGAAGAGAUGAGAACAUUCAUGGUGAUGAAUUGAGAACUUCACACAUCAGAGCUCUUGUUUCAGUUUUCAUUCAUUCUCAUUAGGUGUCUUUCACCUGUGACUGUUGUACAGGCUCCCAUGUUCCCUAUUGGAGUGCAGAGUCCCAUCCCUAUGCAGUAGACCCAGGGGCAUGGAGUGGCCAGGAGGCGGCAAGACCGGGUAGCUGACUGAUGAAGGGUUGUGCACAGGCAUUCAACAGGAUUUGGGUAGCCUAUAUAAAGCAAAUUCAGAUUCAUUCAGCCAAGGGAUUCCUGAGAUAUAACAUAUCCAAAAUGAGAUGUUUGCACAUAUCAAAAUUCUAUAAAGUCCAAAUGUAUAGGUAAAUUGCCUUAGAAAUUGGCAUGAUGGAACAAUGCCUCAGGUAAAAAUUGCGUGGCAAAGUUGGGGUUAUUUGAUCAGUGGGUGAUGAUAUACCCCCAAUAUUCAAAAUCCACAUGCAUAGUAAUAUUUUAAAAGCAAAAGAGGAGCAGAGGUACACUCCGUUAUACAAAUGUUGAGGGUCAUUGAGUCAAAAAGUUCCUCAUAUACAGCCCUUCCACUAAGAAGAUGAUUUUAAUAUUCAAAUUCCUCUAUAAUCCAGAGACUUGAAAAUAAGUGUGAUGCAUCAGGGUCUGUGGCAGAUUUGUUUCAUAAUUGUGGGAUCAUUUGUGUAAGGUGUUUUUAUUCUACUCCUCCAAUAUGGACCUGAUUUCAAUAUUCCUAUUGUUCUAAUAUCCAUGUACAUAGGACAUUUGUAUUGAAAACUGGUAUUCCACAAAAACUGUGGGGGGAUAAUUUUACUUUGAGGGGUGGAUGAAAACAAGUUUGGAGAUGAACCAAGCAGCUCACCCUUCUCGGAGGUGUUGUAUCAGAAUGCAUUUAUCUCCAUGGAUUGUGCACAGUUCUUUUCCCCUUCCCAGCCUCCAAAAAGGAAUAAAGAAUCUGGGGUUUGCCUUGUC